CCUGGAGACUUUCUUUUUGUCUGCCUGAUCGUUGUGGGAUUGCCGGUCCUGCUCCAGUGCUCUUGGUGUUUGCUGGGAUUGCGGCUCCUCUCUUCCUUUUUAUAAUUCAGCUAUGGCUGCGUCACCAGAAGUGAUGCGUAAUCAGCAGUUUUGAUCCGAUUCAACAUGCUAUGCAUGCACAAUAUACAUGUAUGAUCCUUCGACCGUCUCUCUAACACUCUGGCACUCAGCCAUA